rnacentral:lncRNA from 1 species
UACCUUGUCCCCCUCUGGUCUUAGUCCCCUAGGGUGUCUUCCCCUAAAGGGGAACCCAAAGGGUUUCCCAAGGGGAGAACCGAAGGGUUCCCNCUUUUUGUUCAUCCCCUUUAGUUCCCCUUUAGGGGAUGAACUAAAGGGGAUGACACCCUUCGGUUCUCCCCAAAGGGGAACCCUUUGGGAACCCUUUGGGAACCCUUUGGUCACCCUUUGGUCACCCUUUGGGCCCCCUUUGGUCACCUUUGGGGAACCUUUGGUCACACGUUGGUCACCCUUUGGUCACCCUUUGGGGACAACCUUUGGGGGACGAAAGAAAAGCUCUUCCCCUUUGGUUUCGUCAAGUUUGGUGGUCUUCCCCUUUGUUCUUCUUCCCCUUCGGGGAUGAACCCCUUCUUCCCCUUUAGUUCUUCCCCUAAAGGGGAACUUUAGGGGUUCCCCUAAAGGGGAAGCCCUCAUCCCCUAAAGGGAACCGAAGGGGUUCCCCUUUAGGGGAUACCAUCAUCCCCUAAAGGGGAACUUUAGGGGAUGAACUAAAGGGGAUGGAAACCAAAGACGUCCCCUAAAGGGGAACCAAAGACACCCAAAGGGGAUAACAACCCCUUUGGUUCCCCUUUUUGUUCCCCAUCCCCUUUAGUUCUUCAUCCCCUAAAGGGGAACUAAAGUUCUUCCCCUUCGUCUUCCCCUUCGGGGAACACUUUAGUGUUCUUCUUCCCCUUUGGUUCCCCUAAAGGGGACGGAGACGUAGGGGUUCCCCUUUAGGGGAAGAACUAAAGGGGACAACCCUAAAGGGGACGAUGAAGAUGACUUUGGUUCUUCCCCUUCGUUUUCACCCCUUUAGUUCUUCCCCUAAAGGGGAACUUUAGGGGGUCCCCUUUAGGGGAAGAACUAAAGGGGACAACCCUAAAGGGGACAACCCUUUAGGGGAUGAUGUUCCCUCUUCGGGGAUGUCGUCUUCCCCUAAAGGGGAAGAAGAAGAACAAGAAGGGGACAAGAAGGGGAACCAAAGGGGGUUGUUAUCCCCUUUGGGUGUCUUUGGUUCCCCUUUAGGGGACGUCUGGUGUCAUCUUCUUUAGUUCAUCCCCUAAAGUUCCCCUUUAGGGGAUGAUGUUAUCCCCUAAAGGGGAACCCCUUCGGUUCCCCUUUAGGGGAUGAGGUCUUCCCCCUUAGUUCUUCCCCUAAAGUUCCCCUUUAGGGGAAGAACUAAGGGGGAAGAAGGGGCUCAUCCCCGAAGGGGAAGAAGAACAAAGGGGACAGACAACCCCUUUGGUUGUCCCCCUUUGGAGCCCAAAGGGUUUUCUGUCUUCUUUGCUCCCCAUCCCCUAAAGGGGAACAAAGAAGACAGUUUCUUCCCCAUCCCCUUUAGUGAAAACGAAGGGGAUGAACAAAGGGGAACCCCUAAAGUUCUUCCCCUAAAGGGGAAGAACUAAAGGGGUGAAAACGAAGGGGAUCCCUAGGGGACGAGCCCUUCCCCUUUUUGUUACCCCAUCCCCUUUAGUUCAUCCCCGAAGGGGAACAUCCCCUAAAGUUCCCCUUUAGGGUAAGAACUAAAGGGGAACUUUAGGGGAAGAACUAAAGGGGAACUUUAGGGGAAGAACUAAAGGGGAACUUUAGGGGAAGAACUAAAGGGGAACUUUAGUGUUCUUCUUCUUCAUCCCCGAAGGGGACCCCUUUGGUUCCCCUAAAGAAGACGAACUAAAGGGGAACUUUAGU